rnacentral:lncRNA from 1 species
GUUAAAUAGCUUUAUAAUGCCUAGCGUUCUCAAACUGUAAGGAAAGGGACAUUCGCUUUCAAUUUUGAGGGGAGUAAAAGUUUUCAUCACCCUUUAAGAAUACUUUGGCAAUUUCUAUCAUUUUAAAUUGUAUAUACUCUUUGAUUGAUGCUAUUUCUGUUAAUAUCCUAUAGAAAUGUCUGUGAGUGUAGAUAUACAGAAAUUAAGGGCACUACUAUUUUUUUAAAAAAGAUGGUAAAAAUCAAUCAGAAUGGAAUGGUUAAAUAAUUGAUAAUACAUUUAUAUGAAAUGACACAAAAAAGCAGUUAAAAAAGUGGCAUAAUUCUAGCAGAGUCACUAAAGGAAGCUACUAUAUAGUUCUCCAUAACAAUCCCAGGGUAUAUCUGGGUGAAUAACAAAAAUCAAAAUACAAAAAUAAUUUAAAAAUUAGAAGGUUUAACCAUAACAUUUAGCAACUCAAAAUCGCUAGGAUGAAAUGAAGUAGUUAAAUAUUUUAUUGAAAAUGCAAUUCUUUAAGAUUGUUUACUUGAUCUAAUUUAGUACAGAUAUUGUCACUAGAUUUGACAAUCUUUUCUGUGAUAUUUUUGGGGUUUACACUGUUUUCGGUAAAUUUUAAUUUUGGUAAUAAUGGCAAAAUUAGAUAUACAGCAAGGACCACAGAAGUGUAUGAAAAAUCAUGAGAUAAAUUAUCAUUAUACAUGUAGUAUAACAUUUCAUCAAGACUCAAGCUAGAUUACAGAAAAGAACAUAAUAAUUUUUCUCUUUCUGUUCAUAAUUUCAAUUGCAAAAUUUUCAGUAGUUAACAGUGAUUUAUUCAUAUGGUAUCCAGAAUACUGAACUGUCCAUUAGAUGUCUUUCUUUCUAAGACCGAUAUCAUAGGCUGAUGGUGAGGUUCACAGUAGAAAUUAGCUUUCUUUCUACUUACUUUUCUAGUAUUCUUUAAGUGAAAAAAUGGCAACAUUAUCCAAAGACUGCACUUUUUGUUUUAUGCAUUUAAAAUAUUUUUAUUAAUACUAUUGUUUUUCUAAAAAGUUCUUUAUGCUUUUUUUGCUUUCAAGAAUAUUAUGUACAGGAGUUACCAUUGUGGCUCAGUAAUGACCCUGACUAGUAUUCAUGAGGACGUGGGUUUGAUCCCUGGCCCAACUCAGUGGGUUAAGUAGCCAGCUUUGCUGUGAGCUGUGGCGUAGGUCACAGUCACGGCUCGGAUCUGGUGUUGCUGCGGCUGUGGUGUAGGCUGACAGCUGCAGCUCCAAUUCAGCCCCUAAUC